rnacentral:ncRNA from 1 species
AGUGUUUUGGAACCUUUACUUUGAGAACAACAGAGUGUUUCAAGCAGGCGUGUCUCCAUGAAGACUGCAACACGGGAGAAUAAGACAAGGCAUCGUUUAUACUUUGUUGGCUUUUAGGAGAUAGGUAAUGAUUAGUGGGGACAGUUUGUGCAUUCGUAUUACACUGUCCGAGGUGAUACUUUUGGUUUUCGUAAGGAAAAAUUACUGCGAAAGGAUCCUGCUGAUGAUGUUUACAUU